AGCGAACGCUGGCGGCAGGCUUAACACAUGCAAGUCGAGCGGGCAUAGCAAUAUGUCAGCGGCAGACGGGUGAGUAACGCGUGGGAACGUACCUUUUGGUUCGGAACAACACAGGGAAACUUGUGCUAAUACCGGAUAAGCCCUUACGGGGAAAGAUUUAUCGCCGAAAGAUCGGCCCGCGUCUGAUUAGCUAGUUGGUGAGGUAAUGGCUCACCAAGGCGACGAUCAGUAGCUAGUCUGAGAGGAUGAUCAGCCACAUUGGGACUGAGACACGGCCCAAACUCCUACGGGAGGCAGCAGUGGGGAAUAUUGGACAAUGGGCGCAAGCCUGAUCCAGCCAUGCCGCGUGAGUGAUGAAGGCCCUAGGGUUGUAAAGCUCUUUUGUGCGGGAAGAUAAUGACGGUACCGCAAGAAUAAGCCCCGGCUAACUUCGUGCCAGCAGCCGCCGUAA
rnacentral:rRNA from 1 species